rnacentral:tRNA from 2 species
GCGCCCUUAGCUCAAUUGGAUAGAGCAUUUGACUACGGAUCAAAAGGUUGGGGGUUCGAGUCCCUCAGGGCGCA